UCCAGAUCUCUGUUUGUGGUGAGGUGUAAUUAUGUGUGUUUUUCCUAGCUUAGUGUGUGCGUUCUUUCUUUUUGUUUCUGAGAAUGCUGUGUUGAGGGGGUUUUUGGAGAAAACGGUGGGGUUGGGAGGUUGUAGUACUUCAAACAAAGGUGAACGAUUUUUUAGGUGAGUGAGCGUUGUGUUUUAAAGGUUAUACUUUGUUAUAUUCACGUUCUUAUUGCGUUAUAUCAUGCUUCAGAAUUGGUCGUCAAUAUCCUUGUCUAGGUGAGAGUAUGUGUGACCAGCCCCCUCCCCGCC
rnacentral:lncRNA from 1 species